rnacentral:rRNA from 1 species
UGGGGAAUCUUAGACAAUGGGCGAAAGCCUGAUCUAGCCAUGCCGCGUGAGUGAUGAAGGCCCUAGGGUCGUAAAGCUCUUUCGCCAGGGAUGAUAAUGACAGUACCUGGUAAAGAAACCCCGGCUAACUCCGUGCCAGCAGCCGCGGUAAUACGGAGGGGGUUAGCGUUGUUCGGAAUUACUGGGCGUAAAGCGCACGUAGGCGGAUCAGAAAGUUGGGGGUGAAAUCCCGGGGCUCAACCCCGGAACUGCCUCCAAAACUAUUGGUCUAGAGUUCGAGAGAGGUGAGUGGAAUUCCGAGUGUAGAGGUGAAAUUCGUAGAUAUUCGGAGGAACACCAGUGGCGAAGGCGGCUCACUGGCUCGAUACUGACGCUGAGGUGCGAAAGUGUGGGGAGCAAACAGGAUUAGAUACCCCCGUAGUCC